rnacentral:lncRNA from 1 species
UUUUCACUCUUAACUGUAACUUUGAUACAGAUAAAUAAAUUUAGAAAUAAUUACCUAUAUACCCUUCAAAUUUGGAAAUAUCUUAUUAAUCCUUUUUUUUUUUUUCUUUUCAAUAUACCCCUCAUACAUUCCUCCGUUAUUCUAAAAGUUACCGUCCGUUAAAAAGUUAACUUGAGUUAAACGUGAGUUAAAUAUCUACCACAAUUAAAAAAAAAUUAAAAUGCCACUUUUGCCCUUAUCUUAAGGGCAAAUAAGAAAUGUUGGUGAUGGUAGAAGGUAUAUUUGAAAAAAUUAAAAAACAAAAUAUUUUUUGUACCCCUAAAUUAAGGACAAAUAAUAAAAAUUAGUGAUGAUAGAAAGGUAUAUUUGAAAAGGCAAAAUAGUAAUUUUAUAGAGAUAAUAGAGUUUAUUAACAAAUUUUAACUCUAGGAGUAUAUGAGAAAUAUGUUGGAACAUAAAAUAGGUAUUUUCAAUAUUAGCCUUCUAAGAGGGGUAAAUCAAAAAGUCAGAAAUUUUUUGGGAAUAUAUUAGCCUUCGAUUUGAUGC